rnacentral:rRNA from 1 species
AGUGAACGCUGGCGGUAGGCCUAACACAUGCAAGUCGAACGGCAGCACAGGAGAGCUUGCUCUCUGGGUGGCGAGUGGCGGACGGGUGAGGAAUACAUCGGAAUCUACUCUGUCGUGGGGGAUAACGUAGGGAAACUUACGCUAAUACCGCAUACGACCUACGGGUGAAAGCAGGGGACCUUCGGGCCUUGCGCGAUUGACUGAGCCGAUGUCGGAUUAGCUAGUUGGCGGGGUAAAGGCCCACAAAGGCGACGAUCCGUAGCUGGUCUGAGAGGAUGAUCAGCCACACUGGAACUGAGACACGGUCCAGACUCCUACGGGAGGCAGCAGUGGGGAAUAUUGGACAAUGGGCGCAAGCCUGAUCCAGCCAUACCGCGCGGGUGAAGAAGGCCUUCGGGUUGUAAAGCCCUUUUGUUGGGAAAGAAAUCCAGCUGGCUAAUACCCGGUUGGGAUGACGGUACCCAAAGAAUAAGCACCGGCUAACUUCGUGCCAGCCGCCGCCGUAA